AUUGAACGCUGGCGGCAGGCCUAACACAUGCAAGUCGAGCGGAUGAAGGGAGCUUGCUCCUGGAUUCAGCGGCGGACGGGUGAGUAAUGCCUAGGAAUCUGCCUGGUAGUGGGGGAUAACGUCCGGAAACGGGCGCUAAUACCGCAUACGUCCUGAGGGAGAAAGUGGGGGAUCUUCGGACCUCACGCUAUCAGAUGAGCCUAGGUCGGAUUAGCUAGUUGGUGGGGUAAAGGCCUACCAAGGCGACGAUCCGUAACUGGUCUGAGAGGAUGAUCAGUCACACUGGAACUGAGACACGGUCCAGGCUCCUACGGGAGGCAGCGGUGGGGAAUAUUGGACAAUGGGCGAAAGCCUGAUCCAGCCAUGCCGCGUGUGUGAAGAAGGUCUUCGGAUUGUAAAGCACUUUAAGUUGGGAGGAAGGGCAGUAAGUUAAUACCUUGCUGUUUUGACGUUACCAACAGAAUAAGCACCGGCUAACUUCGUG
rnacentral:rRNA from 1 species